ACAUGCAGGGGCGAAGCCAGGUUACCCACUAUGGGGGCCUGUGCACCCGCAAUAUUAAUUGAUAAUGUAAUUUUCGUGUAAAGAAACAUAAAAUUUCAGCUAGAACAGAUGGUAAAAUGUUGGUGUGCACCCGUAACAACCAAGGUUCGAUUCUACCUUUUGACAUGUUUCUAUUUUAUUAUAAAGAGUGCACCCAGUCAUUAUACAUCCUGGAUUCGCCCCUGGAUACAUGUAACUGAAGAAGAUAAGACUAUGAGGAAGUCCUUCAAAACAAAACAUCUAAUAAGCAAUAACGACCUAAUUACCAAAGCAAAAGAAAGUGGAUAUACUUUUGGAAGUAUCCAUAAGUCAAAGCAGAGCUAUAGAUUGAUAAGAAAGAAAGUUUGUUACGGGAUGAAAAGCUAAGAACACCUCCAAUAAUUAGAAACCAUGAAUAUUUCUAAACAAAAAAAAUUAAUAUUAAAAUUAUUUAUUUAUGUUUUAUUUUUUUAAACUAGUUAAUCAUCUAUUUGAAUGACAUGCAUCUUUUUAGUAUCCUAUAAUUUUCUAAAACCUCAUAACUAAAUAUUUUUGUUCAUUCUUUCUCUUAAUUUAAUUUUUUUUUGUUUUUCUUUAAAUGCUAAAAACUCUUCUUAAUACUACCAUUGGAAUGCUCUAAUGACAUGCAUCUUUUUAGUAUCUUAUAAUUUUCUAAAACUCAUAACUAAAUUUUUUUGUUCAUUCUUUUUCUUAAUUUAAUUUUUUUUUUGUUUUUCUUUAAAUGCUAAAAACUCUUCUUAAUACUACCAUUAGAGGUAGGGAUGGGCACAAUUACUCGUUACUUGGCUCGUAUUCGCUACUUGAUCGAUACUUGACUCGUAAAGUUGAAUAUUCGGUUUGACCAAGUCGAGUAUCAAGUAAUCUAUUUAAAUUACUCGCAAGUACAAGACAAGUAUCAAAUAUUCAAAUCAAAGUAACUACUUGGCGUUGUUUGGCUUGUUACUCGUUUUUGUUGAUGAACAAAUUUACAUUUUUAAAUCAUAGUAAAAUAACUUGUUUAUAUUUCUAUUUUCAUAAGUUAAUCAAACAUAUGUGAUAUAUCUUGACGUUUUUUUAUUUUUUAGAUAUAAUAUUUCUUGAAUUGACUAAAAUAUAGGAAAAAAUGAAAUAUUCUGUAUGCAUAAUAUACUUACUUAGUUUUGAAUUUCGGCGAAUUAGCAAAAAAAAAUUACAAAUAAUUAUUAAAAAUUUACAAAUUAUUUACAAGUAACAAGUAAUAAAACAAGUUAAUCAACUUGCAAGUCCAUCAAUUUUUAGCAAAUACUUGAAAUUGUAAGUAUUCGUUUUUAGCAAACCAAGUACAAUUAAUUUUUUUUACUACUCGUAUAAACCAAAUCGAGUACCAAGUACAUCAAAAAUACCAAGUACCCGGCUUGUGCCCAUCCCUAAUUGGAGAUGCUCUAAGGCUUACUUGUUCUUUUCCAGUGAAGCAAGAGACACACAACCAUAAUCAGUUACCUACCAAUAUCAGUUGGUCAACUUAUUUCAGUUUCUUGGGUUCAUGAAUCAUGAAUAUUCUUCUUUUUGGAUAACCAUAUAUAUUUAAGGGGAAUAGAAUUAUUCUGUUUAACUUUAACCGUAGUGAAAGCCUUUUCACAAAAAAAAAUAUUCUUGAACUCUGACAAAAUAUUAAGGAAAAAUGAAAAUUGAUUAAAAUUAUCUUGGUCCUAGUCAAACACUGCAUUUCAAUGAUAGUCACCAUAAUACUGAGAUGAUAGUAUGUAAAUUAGAAAAAUGGAAGUGCAUACUAAACUUAUUUGUUUAAGGAGUAUUUGUAUUAAAUUUAAAUAACGAAUUUUUUUUAGAGAAAAAAAGUAGAUUAUUUGAUAUGAUUCAGUUUGUAUGCACAAUAACAAAUAAAAUUUGAUGGAUAUGAAAGACAUAAGAGGAAAAUUUUGAUAUGUUACAAAAAAAAUGGCUACAAAAAUUAUCAUAUAUGGUUCUUCAAAAAAAAAAAAAAUUAUCAUAUAUGAUACGUAAAUGGUUAGAGCACCCGCAAUUGGAAUCAUUAAGAGAGAGUCCUUAGGAAAAAAAUAAUUAAAUAAUCGGUGGACCCCACCAAAAUCUAAGAAUUCAAUCCUUAAAAUUCCUAAAUAAGUAUUCUUUCUUAGUGAAUCCUUGCACUAUUUGCGGGUCCUGAUAACAUGUGGCGACCCGCGAUUGGUUGAUAUUUAUUUAUUUUUAUCUAAAAAAUAAAAAAAAAUAAUAAUAUUUAAAAAAUCAAAAUACACUUUUUCUAAAGAUUCUUUUUGAAUAAUACUAUUGCGGGUGCUCUGCGUGCCGUACACAGUCACCAUUCCAACUCUCUUUUCUAUAUUUUUACAUUAUGAAUGGAAUACGAAUAAGACAAAAUAUAUCCUAAAAUGACAAGAGAGUUUUGGGCAUAGGAAGUGUGCGACUGUUGUGUGCAAUUACGGCAAUCUAGGCCGCGUCAAUGAAAACCUUCAAGGGCCCACUUUUCAGAUCUAUCUUGAAGUGUGAUGAGUUUGUGAACCAAACACGUGUUAUGAUUACCUCAUCUCGAACAGAGACGGAUCUCGGAGUUGUAUGCUUCGAUUGACGGGACUCUCGAUGACUGUAAUUGUCUUCUUGUUACGUGGCAUUGUUUUUGGGGGUCAAAUGGCAACUUUUGUCUUCUCAAAAAAUACUUUCUAGAGUAACGGUAUGUCAUAGAUCUCCUUUUUGUGAAUCCGGCGAUGGUGAUGGUGAUGGUGAUCGUGAUAGUGAUGGGGAUGGUGAUUAUUGACUAUUUUGAACUAAGCAUAUGUGUUUAAAAUAUAUUUUGCUGAUAAUCUCAACGGAUCUCAACCAACACUCGUUCUUUUCUUUUUUUAGAUGAAGUUUAAGUUUAAUGCACAAAGAUUAAGAAUGUGUAAAUUUUAAACAAUUUAUUUUGAUUAUAUAAAUAUAUCCUUAGACAAAACUAAUUCAACCAAUAAAAAGGUAAUAUUAUAUAACUGGUAACAAAUUUCAUAUAAUAUUAAUUUGAUCUAAAAUAAUGGAAACUUUAUCUGCAAUAAAAAUAAUAUAAAACUGAAACAUAGAAAGUAUAUAAUUUUAAAUUGUAUAACCAGAUUUUGUAACACGCGCGUAGACGUGUGGAUUUGUCUCUAUCGAGCUUGAAGCUAAAGAAUAAUAACCAGAAUACGUAUUAUAAACGAAUAUUCUAUAAAGUUUGUAGCCAUUACAUUUUCUCUUUUGUUAAAUGCGAGGUUUUUAUAUACGCCUCACAGAUGGUGAAAACGACUUCAAUGUCAUCUAUAAAGUUCCGAGAAAGAGAGGAUUCCAGAUGAUCAAUCAGUCAGGAAUCGAUUUUGCCAUAUUUUUAUUUUCCUUUGAAAGGUAUACACUAUGGAGACCUUUUAGGCUAUCACAUAAAUUUAUAUAUAGUCAGAUAAGCUCAUAAGCAUGCAUUUAUAUACUUUUUUUAGAUGGGCUUUAAUUAUGUAGAGAAUAAACAAUAAAAUAGUUGGGUUCAAUAAGUCUUCAAUUCACAAAUUAGAUAAGAUGAAUUGAAGUUUUCUAUUAGUAUGCUCACAUACGUGUGCGUAUUUCCAAAGGCAUAUAUGUAUGCCAAUAUGUACAGUAUAGAUAAAUGUAGAGUCAAUGUUGUGCUGGCCGCAAACCGCGAGACGUACGUGAAAGUAAAUGGCAAUGUAAACACGAAAUUGUUAAAUUUAAUAAGUUCUUAAGUUUGUGGCCAACAAAAAUUACGUAAGUUUAAGGAACUAUCCAAUGAUUGAUGUUUAUUCUUAUAGGGUUUUGGAAUCUUAUAUUUAAGCAACAUAUGCAUUAAAUAAUAGGAAAAAAGUUUUCAGCUACCCAAAGUUUACUAUAAUAUGGUGAAAACGAAGUUUACUAGAAUGCGUCAACAACUACACGAAGUUUAUGUUAAUAUAUGUCACAUGUAUGAAGUAAAUAAUAACACGGUGGCAACAUCACAAUCGGAUUUAAUUGAUUUUAAGCUAUGUUAAUGGGAUCAAUCCGUAAUUUACUAAACUUAAUAUUUUAUUAAGUUUAAUAAACUUAAUUGAUUUAUUAAUAAAUUUAGUAAUUUAAUAAACUUUAACUUAAUAAAAUUAAUAAUUUAUUAAACUUAAUAAACUUAAACUUAAUAAUUUAUUAAACUUAAUAAAUUAUUAAGUUUAGUAAAUGAUUAAGUUUAUUAAUAAAUGAUUAAGUUUAUUAAGUUUAAUAAAUUUAUUAAUUUAAAUAAGCUUAAUAAAGUUAUUAAGUUUAUUAAGUAAGUUUAAUAAAUUAUUAAGUAAGUUUAAUAAAUUAUUAAGUUUAUUAACAAAAUCAAUUAAGUUUAUUAAACAUAAUAAAUCAUUAAAUUUAUUAAGUUUAAUAAAUUACGGAUUGACCCAAUUAACUUAGCUUAAAAUCAAUUAAACUCGAUUAUGAUGUUGCCACCAUAUUAUUAUUUACUUUGUACAUGUGAUAUGUAUUAACAUAAACUUCGUGUAGUUGUUGACACAUUCUCAUACAUUGAUAGUUUCCACCAUAUUAUAGUAAACUUCAUAUAGCUAGGAAAUAUUUUUCCUAAAUAAUACUCCCUCCGUCUUUUAAUAUAAGUUGUUUUAGGGAAAUUUUUAUGUUCUAAAUUACAUGACGUUUUUGGUUUUUUAUGUAAUAUUUAUUAACAGUUAAUGUUAUAUGACCAAUGAUAAUAUACCUUCUAUUUUAUUAUUGGUUGAUUUGUGGUUUGGUAAAUAAUUAAUGAUGUUUUUGUUUAGAAAAUGUAAAAAAUUAAUGACUUUCUUAAUUUGUGUGCACAAUUCUAAAAUGACUUAUAUUAAAAAACGGAGGGAGUACAAUAACAGAUGAUCUGGAAAACAUAUGCUAACAUAAGUACUUAUUGUUUGGUUCUUUUUAUGAUGACAAUAUAUUUAAAUCUACACUUUCUUGAUUUCUUUUUUAUUUAUUUUUAUUUUCUAAAAAUGUAAAAAUCACUAAAAAGAAAAUGCUAAAUGUUUAUAAAAUAGCACAGUCUAAUAGUAUUCAGAUAUCUUGGCAAAAAGAAAUAAAAGGUAGUGUCUUCUAUAUUUCCUUGAUGAGAUUAUGUUGCGUAAUUCUCUGUUCGAUGCAGUUUAAAAUGAUCGGCGGACGGAUGAUUGUUGACUGUGAAGAACAUUGUUCAUUUGUUUCCUGACCUUCCGGAUAUUAAACACACUUCAUUGAGCCACUAACUUUCGGAGAAUGUUGGUGCUCUGGCUGCAUGCAGCCUCUCAAUUAGCAAGUUAGGAUGAAGUAUUCCCUUAAUUCUUUAUGCUUGAAACACAAACAAUAAUCAGUGGUCAUCUGAAUUUAAGCCUUGAUCUUGUUGGCAGCCUCUCUAGGUGAAAAAUCCACAUGAUCAGAGUAUAUUUUGGGACUGUUUCUUUUAAACCAGACGUCCUCGCCCAAUCCCUACUUUGCUCGGCUAAAGCUUAUUUCACAAAUCCAGAAGUAUUAGUUAUUUUCGUUGUUGUUAAAAAUAAUACAGACUGUUAAGUUCAUGGUGUAUAUAUAUAUAUAUAUAUGUAUUUUUACCAAACAAAGUUAAUAGUAUACCAUUCUUGUAUUAUUCUAAAUUUCAUCCUAUCAGUAGAAAGGGAAAUAAAUAUAAAAUUUAAGUCAUUAUUUUUAAA